UACGUAGGGACCAAGCGUUGUUCGGAUUUACUGGGCGUAAAGGGCGCGUAGGCGGCUUGACAAGUCACUUGUGAAAUCUCUGGGCUUAACCCAGAACGGCCAAGUGAUACUGUCGCGCUAGAGUGCAGAAGGGGCAAUCGGAAUUCUUGGUGUAGCGGUGAAAUGCGUAGAUAUCAAGAGGAACACCUGAGGUGAAGACGGGUUGCUGGGCUGACACUGACGCUGAGGCGCGAAAGCCAGGGGAGCAAACGGG
rnacentral:rRNA from 1 species